rnacentral:rRNA from 1 species
AUGAGCCCAAAGGAGCAUGAUAUAUUGAAGGAGAAAGUGGAGGAAUUGUUGCAAAAGGGGCACAUUCGAGAAAGCAUUAGCCCAUGUGCUGUACCAGCCCUACUCGCGCCAAAGAAAGAUGGAUCUUGGCACAUGUGUACGGACAGUAGAGCCGUUAACAAGAUCACCGUAAGGUAUAGAUUCCCUAUUCUCCAUCUGGAUGAUAUGUUGGAUCAGCUUAGUGGAGCAAGAGUGUUAACAAAGUUAGAUUUAAGAAGUGGAUAUCAUCAAAUCCAUAUAAGAUCCGGGGAUGAAUGGAAGACCGCCUUCAAGACAAAGGAAGGGUUGUUUGAAUGGCUAGUCAUGCCAUUUGGACUCUCAAAUGCACCAAGUACCUUUAUGCACUUCAUGAAUCAAGUCCUUAGACCCUUCUUAUCCCACUUUGUUGUGGUCUAUUUUGAUGACAUCUUGAUCUAUAGCAAGGAUGAGGAUGAACACUUUGAUCACAUUCGGAAGGUGCUAGAAGUACUAAGGGAAAAUGAGCUCUACGUCAACUUGAAGAAAUGUGUUUUCUUGCAAACACAACUUCUAUUCCUAGGAGUCAUAACAUGUGAUGGCAUUCGUGUUGAUGAUUCUAAGGUUGACGAAAUCCGAGAAUGGCCAACUCCUAAGACCAUUUCUGAGGUAAGAAGCUUUCAUGGCCUUGCAACUUUCUAUAGGCGAUUUGUUAAGAAUUUCAGCACUAUCAUGGCACCAAUUACUGAGUGUUUGAAGAAAGGAAAGUUCCAAUGGGCAGAAGCAGUUGAAUAUAGCUAG